AGGCGCCCUGGAACUCGCCGCGCGUGUUGUGACCCAGAAUUCCCGGGGCUGUGGAAGAGACCAUAGACUCAACAGGAGGGGGAGUCCUGGGUAGCGCACCGAUCUACAUCGUUACUUGGCGGAAAGUUCCCAUGAGUCUUUGCCAGCGUCCCCCUCGUUUUGUGAGGAAUGGGAUAUUCCGACUCCUUAAGGGCCUGGAGCACAUAAGGGCCACAUCUGCCAGAGCCUGGAGUCUGCGAAGGCCGGGACCCGGUUCCCCGGCCCGCCGUGGGGAGUGUGCAAACCCGAGAGAACUGGGUUGCAAAUUCGUGAAGAAUCAGCAGCAUGUUUGGCAGCUGAGUAUUGGAGCCAGGAGCCUGCCAUGAGGUUUUGAGAACAGGGUGCUGUUUUAGAGCUGGCAGCAGCAUCUCAGCCCAAGAGAAGGCAUGACUCCACAGUUUCUGCAACAACAGAGCCGGGGAAAGGAGGACGCAGCAAGCGCUGAAUAUUAACCAGCAAAGGUAGAUGCUUCAAUAUCGAAACCACCAGGACCCGCAUGUGCAAAGCUACUUAAUGAGGGUGUAAUCAAACACAGU
rnacentral:antisense_RNA from 1 species